rnacentral:rRNA from 1 species
UUUAAAGGUGCUUAGUGGCGAACGGGUGAGUAACACGUGAGUUACCUGCCCCAAAGCGGGGGAUAGCCCGAAGAAAUUCGGAUUAAUACCCCAUGUGAUCGUAAGAUUAAAGGCGGCGUAAGCUGUCGCUUUGGGAUGGGCUCGCGGCCUAUCAGCUUGUUGGUGAGGUAAUGGCUCACCAAGGCGAUGACGGGUAGCUGAUCUGAGAGGAUGAUCAGUCACACUGGAACUGAGACACGGUCCAGACACCUACGGGUGGCAGCAGUCGAGAAUCAUUCGCAAAUGGGCGAAAGCCUGACG